AGGACGAACGCUGGCGGCGUGCUUAACACAUGCAAGUCGAGCGGAAAGGCCCUUCGGGGUACUCGAGCGGCGAACGGAUGAGUAACACGUGAGCAACCUGCCCUUAGCUUCGGGAUAGCUCCGGGAAACCGGAAUUAAUACCGAAUAUGAUUUUGCUGACAUCAGCAGAAGUGGAAAGUUUUUCGGCUAGGGAUGGACUCGCGGCCUAUCAGCUAGUUGGUGAGGUAACGGCCCACCAAGGCGACGACGGGUA
rnacentral:rRNA from 1 species